GUUUCUGUAGUGUAGUGGGUAUCACGUCCGCCUCACACGCGAAAGGUCGCAGGUUCGAGUCCUGCCAGAAACA